ACUCUUCUUACCCAUCCUUCAGAAAUACUUUUCUUAAUUAUUUGGGUUAGUCCGGCAGGGGGAAGAGAAAGGAAUGAAAUAGGCAACAGGAAAGACUUCUCUGAAAUUGGUGCCAGAGUCUUCCCCAGACAAACUAAAGCUGGAUGGUAAGAGGCAUUCCUGGGAAGUUUUGUUCUUUCUACCCGAAGAAGCUCCACAACCUGCAGUAAGAUGGUGUCCACAGAACUGGGUGGAGUCAUUAAGAUUUUUCUACCCCUCUCCCACUGCCACCCACAUGCUAGCGCUAGCUCCUUUGUGGACCUAAGAUAACCCAUUUCUUCUCAGAGCCUGGGACCCACAUCAUCUCCCACCCCCACUGGCCAAUGCUUUUCAC
rnacentral:lncRNA from 1 species